rnacentral:rRNA from 1 species
AUUGAACGCUGGCGGCAUGCCUAACACAUGCAAGUCGAACGGCAGCAUGAGCAGGGGUAACCCUGCUUGAUGGCGAGUGGCGGACGGGUGAGUAAAAUGUAGGAAUCUGCCCAGAGGUUGGGGAUAACUUGGGGAAACUCAAGCUAAUACCAAAUAAGCCCUACGGGGGAAAGCAGGGGAUCGAAAGACCUUGCGCCUUUGGAUGAGCCUACAACGGAUUAGCUAGGUU